GAAAAAACAGAGGAACUUCAGUAUUCAGAUUAAGUUUUUAUCUAAAAUACAAUUUAACAAGGAAAUUAUUAUUUGGAAUUUGCAAAAUGAAAUCAUUAGUUUUCGUUCUAUUAAGUACGCUAAUCCUUAUGACUUAGACGUGCGCGAGGAUUCUAAUAAUAGCCCGCAAAUGGGACAAACCAAUUGUCUUUAUUGGUUCAAGUUCAGACGUAAUGCCACAGAAUAUAAAAUAGUAUGACGCAGUAAUACUUUCAUGAUAAUCUUUAUGAUAUAAAUCUACUAUGGUCCAUUGUUCCUUAUUCAAUAUAAAGAAAUGGCUAAAAAUUAAAUGCAUUUCUUUUUCAACGAAUAAUUAUUUUGUAAAUUUCGUAAUUCAUAGAAGUUGAGAAUGUGAAUACAUGAUGUAUUUCCUAUUUUCAUUAACUACUAUUGUCGUACUUUCAUUUCAUAAAACUAAAAAAGAAACGAAUUCCUCAACAUAUACUUAAUUAUGAGAGGCACCAACAAUUAAAAUAAAUACUAUAUUCAUUAAUCUUAUAUCCAUCAAACAUAACGUCAACAUAUAAUCAGUUAAACAAACAAUAAGGCACUCUAUAUUAUUAAAAAAGACCGAAAUCAUAUCCACCCUACACAGUCACGUUUCAGUAAACCGACGAGCUUUCAGUGAGGCAAACGUUGCCACACCGCAAUGUAGCCUUUAUAACCUUAAAUAUAAUGUUUAUGUUCAUUACCGGCUAACUUAAGACUUCAGUAUAAACUUAGAAGUUAAAACAAGCAAUGUAUGAGGCAUCACUAUUCAAAAUUUAAAUACUUAAAGUAAAAAGAAAAUUGUUGGCGGUUUGAAGUUUCUAUUUGAAAAACACGAAAGAGGUUUUAUUUAAAGUGAAUCCUAGAUGUUUGAUAGAAACUUCUUGGAGUUGUACAAUGAUUAUUUUAUGUGUUUAUAGUGGUGUUUUUAAUUGAUAUCUAAGAAAAUAAAAAUGAAUGCCUGGUCAGGCCAAGAGGGGGAUGUUAUGGGACCCACUGUCACACGUACGGGCAGUGCCAAGCCCAAUACUCCACCUCUGAAGAACGGCAAUGAUUUGAGAGAGUCCGGUUAUCUGAUAGCAGUUGGUUCCAGAACUUCCAGGUUCAGAAGAAAAUACAAGAAAAGAUUGCCGUUUUU